rnacentral:rRNA from 1 species
GGGCCCGCACAAGCGGUGGAGCAUGUGGUUUAAUUCGAUGAUACGCGAGGAACCUUACCAGGGCUUAAAUGUAAGUUGCAUGGAUCAGAGAUGAUCCUUUCUUCGGACCACUUACAAGGUGCUGCAUGGUUGUCGUCAGCUCGUGCCGUGAGGUGUCAGGUUAAGUCCUAUAACGAGCGCAACCCCUAUCGUUAGUUGCCAGCAAGUAAAGUUGGGUACUCUAGCGAGACUGCCGGUGCAAACCGAGAGGAAGGUGGGGAUGACGUCAAAUCAUCACGGCCCUUACGUCCUGGGCUACACACGUGCUACAAUGGCCGGUACAGAGAGCAGCCACCACGCGAGUGGGAGCGAAUCUUCAAAACCGGUCUCAGUUCGGAUCGCAGUCUGCAACUCGACUGCGUGAAGCUGGAAUC